rnacentral:rRNA from 1 species
UACAGAGGGGGCAAGCGUUGUUCGGAAUUACUGGGCGUAAAGGCGCGUAGGCGGCCUGUUAAGUCGAACGUGAAAUCCCCGGGCUCAACCCGGGAACUGCGUCCGAUACUGGCAGGCUUGAAUCCGGGAGAGGGAUGCGGAAUUCCAGGUGUAGCGGUGAAAUGCGUAGAAUAUCUGGAGGAACACCGGUGGCGAAAGGCGGCAUCCUGGACCGGUAUUGACGCCUGAUGCGCGAAAG